rnacentral:rRNA from 1 species
CCUACGGGUGGCAGCAGUGAGGAAUAUUGGUCAAUGGUCGGGAGACUGAACCAGCCACGCCGCGUGAGGGAGGAAGGUACAGAGUAUCGUAAACCUCUUUUGUCAGGGAACAAAGACUGGGACGCGUCCCCGGAUGAGUGUACCUGAAGAAAAAGCAUCGGCUAACUCCGUGCCAGCAGCCGCGGUAAUACGAAGGAUGCGAGCGUUAUCCGGAUUUAUUGGGUUAAACGGGUGCGCAGGCGGUCUGUAAGGUCAGCGGUCAAAGCCCGGGGCACAACCCCGGCCCGCCGUUGAAACUGGCAGUCUCGAGUUGGAGAGAAGUAUGCGGAAUGCGCGGGGUAGCGGUGAAAUGCAUAGAGAUCGCGCAGAACUCCGAUUGCGAAGGCAGCAUGCCGGCUCCACACUGACGCUGAGGCACGAAAGCGUGGGUAUCGAACAGGAUUAGAUACCCGUGUAGUC